GUCCCUUCUGGCCGCUUCCGCUUAGUCUCGGUGGUUUUGCGUGCCUUCUGGCGACUUCCGUCCCGUCUCGGUUGUUUUUCCUGCCCUUCUGGCCACUUCCGCUUCGUCUCGGUGAUUUUUGGGUCCCUUCUGGCCACUUCCGCUACAUCUCAGUGGUGUUUCCAGCCCUUCUGGCCAUUUCCGCCCCGUCUCGGUGGUUUUUCCGGCCCUUCUGGCCACUUCCGCUACAUCUCGAUGGUUUUUCCGGCCCUUGUGGACACUUUCGCUACAUCUCGGUGGUUUUUCCGGCCAUUCUGGCCACUUCCGCUUCUUCUCGGUGGUUUUGCGUGCCUUCUGGCGACUUCCGUCCCGUCUCGGUGGUUUUUCCUGCCCUUCUGGCCACUUCCGCUUCGUCUCGGUGGUUUUGGGUCCCUUCUGGCCACUUCCGCCACGUCUCAGUGGUUUUUGGGGUCGCUCUGGCCACUUCCUCCACAUCUCGGUGGUUUUUGUGGCCGCUUUGGCCACUUCCUCCCUAUCUCGCUGGUCCCUCGCGGCCAUGGCGGCUCUGGCAGCGCUCGGGGCUCCUCCGGUCCCCGAAAUCUUCGCCUCGAUGGAGGAGGGUGCGGUCCCCGGCGACAUCAACCCCGGCGAGGCCAGAAGAACGUGCCGUCUGUCUGCAAGGCUUCUGGAGCUGCUCGGGGAUGGAAAUGGAGAGGUGGUCAUCAAGAGCCUCCAUGUGUUCAUGAAUGUGCUCCAGCACAAAGACAUCCUGGUAUCCAGCACCACUGCCCCAAAGCUGACUGAGGCGCUCCUGGAGCUCUUUGACCACGACAACAGCCAUGUGCGGUUGCUCUCCAUUCAACUCUUCUGUAAGGUGAUGGAAGUGGUAGUGGAUGAGGGGAAAAAGCCCCUGAAGACAAUGGUGAACAAGAGCCUGUUGGCACUUUUAAUCUACUGUCAUGAUGAGAACUGGC
rnacentral:lncRNA from 1 species